GGAAGUAAAGUCGUAACAGGUUCCGUAGGUGAACCUGCGGAAGGAUCAUUAAUAAAUGGUCUACGUUUUUUAAGUAGACGCUUAAUAAUCCUACCCUUUGUGAAUUUGUUUGUUUGAAAUAAUUUUUUUUAAAAUUAUUGAAUGUCUUUCCCUGUUGAAUUGGUUGUCUUUAAUGGCAAGUGAUUCGCAGGGGAGUGUCAAUAAUUUUUAAAAAGACCUUUUUUAAAAUUAAACUUUUUGUAUUCAUUUGUCUAAAAAUUAUUUUUAUAAUAUAAAAACAACUUUUGACAAUGGAUCUCUUGGUUCUCGCAACGAUGAAGAACGCAGCAAAAUGCGAUAAGUAGUGUGAAUUGCAGAAUACGUGAAUCAUCGAAUCUUCGAACGCAUAUUGCACUUUUUUAGUUUACUAAAAAAGUAUGUCUGUUUGAGUAUCAGUAAAAUAUUCUCAUAAAGAACAUUGUUUUUUAUGGUUAUGAGUGUUUUACAACGAUACAAGUUGUUUCACUUUAAAUUUUUUUAAAAUUUGAAUUUUUCUAAUUUUAAAAUAAAAUUGGAUAAAAUUUUCCCGUAAAAAGGAAUAACCUAAACAAUUUUAAUUUUUGAUUAGAAAAUCCAAACUAAAAGGAAAAUUUAACUAAAUAACUUGAUCUCAAAUCAGAUAAGAGUACCCGCUGAGCUUAAGCAUAUCAAUAAGCGGAGGAAAAGAAACUAACAAGGAUUCCCUUAGUAACGGCGCGUGAAGCGGGAAGAGCUCAAAUUUGAAAUCUUCAAGGUUUUACCUUGACGAAUUGUAGUUUAAAGAAGUGUUUUCUGUUGAAGUUUUGGUAAAAGUUCUUUGGAAUAGGACAUCAUAGAGGGUGAGAAUCCCGUAUUUGACCAUUAUUUUCAGCUGUGUGAUACACUUUCAAAGAGUCGGAUUGUUUGGGAAUGCAGUCCAAAAUGGGUGGUAAAUUUCAUCUAAAGCUAAAUAUUGGCGAGAGACCGAUAGCGAACAAGUACCGUGAGGGAAAGAUGAAAAGAACUUUGAAAAGAGAGUUAAACAGUACGUGAAAUUGUCAAAAGGGAAGCGUUUGACACCAGUGUUGUUUUCUCGAAAAUCAAUUAAAAAAAGUUGGAUUUUGUGUUGUAUUGACCUUAACAGCUUGCUUCACUCUUUUCCUGCUUUUUUUAAUGCACUUUUCGUUUAACAAGUCAACAUCAGUUUCUUUUGUUGUAAAAGGGUCAUUGGAAGGUGGCUUUCUCUUCGGAGAAAGUGUUUAUAGCCUUUGAUCUCUGCAAUCGGAGAGACUGAGGUCUGCAGCGUAGAUCCUUCGGGGUUAGAUACAUUUGUGCUAAGCUACAGCUUUUCAUAGACAACUUGUUGACUAUGUUUAGUCUUGUGACUUACCCGCUUAUGCUAUUUUACCUACGCUUAGGAUGUUGAA
rnacentral:misc_RNA from 1 species